rnacentral:rRNA from 1 species
AACGGCCGUACCAUGCUGAAUAUACCGGUUCUCGUUAGAUCACUGAAGUCAAGCAUCAUUGGGCGCGGUCAGUACUUGGGUGGGUGACCACCUGGGAACACCGCGUGC